rnacentral:rRNA from 1 species
AUUGAACGCUGGCGGCAGGCCUAACACAUGCAAGUCGAACGAGCGGCGGACGGGUGAGUAAUAUAUGGGAAUCUGCCCGAUAGAGGGGGAUAACUACUGGAAAGGGUGGCUAAUACCGCAUACUAUUGGAGCAACACAUAUGGGAUUAGCUAGUUGGUGGGGUAAAGGCUCACCAAGGCGACGAUCUCUAGCUGGUUUGAGAGGAUGAUCAGCCACAAUGGGACUGAGACACGGCCCAGACUCCUACGGGAGGCAGCAGUGGGGAAUAUUGCACAAUGGGCGCAAGCCUGAUGCAGCCAUGCCGCGUGUAUGAAGAAGGCCUUAGGGUUGUAAAGUACUUUUGGCAGGGAGGCGGUACCCGCAGAAGAAGCACCGGCUAACUACGUGCCAGCAGCCGCGGUAAUAC